GACGAACGCUGGCGGCGUGCCUAAUACAUGCAAGUAGUACGAGUUGCGAACGGGUGAGUAAUGUCUGGGAAACUGCCCGAUGGAGGGGGAUAACUAAUGGAAACGGUAGCUAAUACCGCAUACCAUCUGAUGUGCCCAGAUGGGAUUAGCUCGUAGGUGGGGUAACGGCUCACCUAGGCGACGCUCCCUAGCUGGUCUGAGAGGAUGACCCGCCACACUGGGACUGAGACACGGUCCAGACUCCUACGGGAGGCAGCAGUGGGGAAUAUUGCACAAUGGGCGCAAGCCUGAUGCAGCCAGGCCGCGUGUAGGAAGAAGGCCUUCGGGUUGUAAAGUACUUUCAGCGAGGAUGCGUUACUCGCAGAAGAAGCACCGGCUAACUCCGUGCCAGCAGCCGCGGUAAUAC
rnacentral:rRNA from 1 species